AUCUGUUUAACAUAUUCGAGGUGGGUGUUGAGUGGGGAAUUGAUCUAAGGUUUAAUAACCGUGCCCUAACUUUCCCUCGCCGAACUCCCCUUCCCGAGCCCUCAUCUUGCGACACCGCCGAACCUCUCCUCUUCCUCCCGAUCCCUCCUCACGCGCAAGCACCAAGACGCCGCCCCUUCCUGAUCUUGGCGACGCUGAGUUCUCCACCUGAUCCACUGUCGCUGGCCGACCAUUGGCGCUGCCCUCUCCUCUUUGCGCCGCUGUUGACCACCACCGCCCCACGGCCAGUCGCCGUUGCCAGAUGCCGUCGACUCUCUUCUCACGCAAGCACCCAGUGUCGCCGACCCUCUCCUUUCACGAGCACCUCAGACGCCACCUCUUCUCUCUGCCCUAGGGCCGGCCGGCCGAUCCACUGCCACCUCCGGCCACUACGAGAGCUAGCCAGCAAGUAUUUUCCCCUAUGUUUGAACGGGAUCCGUGAGGACGCUGAUUCGAGAUGAGCGUAUUGACGUAGGGCUUUUGAUUCGAUCUUCUUGCUGAGGCGGGUGACAGGUAGAUGAGUCAUGGAUGCUUGGAGAGUCCCGGCUGUCAGUCCCACGUCACACACGAUGAUAGUUUUCUUUUUGGAUUUUGUUACUGUUUGGGUGACAUGUUAAUUUUGCGUAUUUUGCUUUUGAACAAGUCAUUGUGGAUUUUUGGAGUUUAGUCUGGUGGUUGCAGGUAUUUUUAUUAGUGUCGUUAUUGGUCUUAUGUUCAUAUUGUUUUGUGUAUUCCGCUGCGUUUACGUUGUUAUGUGUUUACUUUCAGCCGUGUAGGCUUAUUAAACUGCGUGAUUGAAUUUAUUUUGUUCCAGCCGAGUGAGCUGAUGAUAUAAA